ACACAGGUGGUGCAUGGUUGUCGUCAGCUCGUGUCGUGAGAUGUUGGUUAAGUCCCGCAACGAGCGCAACCCUUGUCUUUAGUUACCAUCAUUAAGUUUGGGGGACUCUAGAGAGACUGCCGGUGAUAAACCGGAGGAAGGUGGGGAUGACGUCAAAUCAUCAUGCCCCUUAUGACCUGGGCUACACACGUACUACAAUGGCGCAUACAACGAGCUGCAAGAUGGUGACAUCAAGCGAAUCUCUUAAAAUGCGUCUCAGUUCGGAUUGGGAGUCUGCAACUCGACUCCAUGAAGUCGGAAUCGCUAGCAAUCGCGGAUCAGCAUGCCGCGGUGAAUACGUUCUCGGGGUUU
rnacentral:rRNA from 1 species